GAUGAACGCUGGCGGCGUGCUUAACACAUGCAAGUCGAACGAAGCAUUUACGACAGAUUCUUUCGGGAUGAAGUUGUUUAUGACUGAGUGGCGGACGGGUGAGUAACGCGUGGGUAACCUGCCUCAUACAGGGGGAUAGCAGCUGGAAACGGCUGGUAAUACCGCAUAAGCGCACAGAAUCGCAUGAUUCAGUGUGAAAAACUCCGGUGGUAUGAGAUGGACCCGCGUCUGAUUAGCUUGUUGGCGGGUAAAGGCCCACCAAGGCGACGAUCAGUAGCCGACCUGAGAGGGUGACCGGCCACAUUGGGACUGAGACACGGCCCAAAUCCUACGGGAGCAGCAGUGGGAAUAUUGCACAAUGGAGGAAACUCU
rnacentral:rRNA from 1 species